GCCACGGCCGCGCUUUAUUGCUCAAGACGCACACAGAACACAGAGGAACAGACAAAGAGGAAAGGGCGCCACACACAGCCCAGACCAGGCAGGAGCGGCCCGGCCGCCGGAAGAGACAGGGAGCAUCCCCCACCCAGCUGUCCAGUCACUGCCAAGGCUGCAGUUCCAGGUACCGGGGUGCACCUUAGGAGCCCUAUGGGCUUCUUCAGAAGGCAGGGUGACAGUGGGCGCUGCACCCUAGGCAGCAGUGGGAGGUUGCUGGCAGGUCCCACUUGCCCCUCCCCUCAAGCCAGGACCAGCAUCUCCAGGGGAAGCUGCUCCCAGGUCACGGCAGGUCACUGGCAGCCCUGUCUGUGGUGUGAGGUCUGCAGACCCACCCGGCAGAGAAGCAGGGCCGGGUGGUGUCCACACAGCUGCUGCAGGCUCU
rnacentral:lncRNA from 1 species